UGCAAGUCGAACGGUGAACACGGAGCUUGCUCUGUGGGAUCAGUGGCGAACGGGUGAGUAACACGUGAGCAACCUGCCCCAGACUCUGGGAUAAGCACUGGAAACGGUGUCUAAUACCGGAUACGAGUAGCGAAGGCAUCUUCAGCUACUGGAAAGAACUUCGGUCUGGGAUGGGCUCGCGGCCUAUCAGCUUGUUGGUGAGGUAAUGGCUCACCAAGGCGUCGACGGGUAGCCGGCCUGAGAGGGUGACCGGCCACACUGGGACUGAGACACGGCCCAGACUCCUACGGGAGGCAGCAGUGGGGAAUAUUGCACAAUGGGCGAAAGCCUGAUGCAGCAACGCCGCGUGAGGGACGACGGCCUUCGGGUUGUAAACCUCUUUUAGCAGGGAAGAAGCGAAAGUGACGGUACCUGCAGAAAAAGCACCGGCUAACUACGUGCCAGCAGCCGCGGUAAUACGUAGGGUGCAAGCGUUAUCCGGAAUUAUUGGGCGUAAAGAGCUCGUAGGCGGUUUGUCGCGUCUGCUGUGAAAACCCGAGGCUCAACCUCGGGCCUGCAGUGGGUACGGGCAGACUAGAGUGCGGUAGGGGAGAUUGGAAUUCCUGGUGUAGCGGUGGAAUGCGCAGAUAUCAGGAGGAACACCGAUGGCGAAGGCAGAUCUCUGGGCCGUAACUGACGCUGAGGAGCGAAAGGGUGGGGAGCA
rnacentral:rRNA from 1 species